AUGGCUCCCCACAUUGUACAUCGUGGCCUGAAAAGAAAACUUUUGGUUGUAAUCUAUAGCCUGUUGCCCAGAAAUGAAGUUCUUUUCUUUCCUAUUAUGCAUAUAAUGGGAGACACCAAGCCUGUCAACUUACUUGAGUCAUUUCCCAUACACAGAUGUCAGCUUCUAUGUGACCAGAAUCAGGAAGAAAACAUCAAGUAUUUUUGUCUGUGGAUACUCUGCUUUCUUGAUUAUAGUUCUUUUUCAAGACUGAAUAGGUUUGGCCAGCAUAGAAACCCCCUUGGAUACACUACUAAAGUGGCCAGCUGA
rnacentral:lncRNA from 1 species